AAGUCGUAACAAGGUUUCCGUAGGUGAACCUGCGGAAGGAUCAUUAACUAAAUCCGCACACAACAUGUGUGCAUAAACCUUUGUGAAUUGCCGACAUAUCAUUUCUGAUUUGUUGGAUUCGUUACCUCAGUAAUGGGACUAACGAUCUAUAUUUUAAAGAGUCUGAAUUUUUAAAUCUAAUUUAAAAACAACUUUUAACAAUGGAUCUCUAGGCUCUU
rnacentral:misc_RNA from 1 species